rnacentral:rRNA from 1 species
UUGAACGCUGGCGGCAUGCCUUACACAUGCAAGUCGAACGGUAACAGGGAGCUUGCUCCGCUGACGAGUGGCGAACGGGUGAGUAAUGUAUCGGAACGUACCAUUGAGUGGGGGAUAACGUAGCGAAAGUUACGCUAAUACCGCAUAUUCUCUCCGGAGGAAAGCAGGGGACCGCAAGGCCUUGCGCUCUUUGAGCGGCCGAUAUCAGAUUAGCUAGUUGGUGGGGUAAAAGCUCACCUAGGCGACGAUCCGUAGCUGGUCUGAGAGGACGACCAGCCACACUGGAACUGAGACACGGUUCAGACUCCUACGGGAGGCAGCAGUGGGGAAUUUUGGACAAUGGGCGAAAGCCUGAUCCAGCCAUACCGCGUGAGUGAAGAAGGCCUUCGGGUUGUAAAGCUCUUUCAGCCGGAAAGAAAUUGCUUCUAUUAAUACUAGGAGUAGAUGACGGUACCGGAAGAAGAAGCACCGGCUAACUACGU